GGACCUAAGCCGAGGCCGAAAGGCGUAGGUGAUGGACAACAGGUUGAUAUUCCUGUACCGCCAAUAAGCGUUUGAGAGAUGGAGUGACACAGUAGGAUAAGCUAACCGUACUGUUGGUUAUGUACGGCUAAGCAUUGAGGCAGUCUAAAUAGGCAAAUCCGUUUAGACAAUGCUAGGAUGUGAUGGGGAAGCCCUUCGGGGCGAAGUAGCUGAUUUCACACUGUCAAGAAAAGCUUCUAUCGAGUUUAAAGGCGCCCGUACCGUAAACCGACACAGGUGGGUGAGGAGAGUAUCCUAAGGCCAGCGAGAGAACUAUUGUUAAGGAACUCGGCAAAAUGACCCCGUAACUUAGGGAGAAGGGGUGCCUGUCUAUGACAGGCCGCAGAGAAUAGGCCCAAGCGACUGUUUACCAAAAACACAGGUUUCUGCUAAGUCGCAAGACGAUGUAUAGGAGCUGACGCCUGCCCGGUGCUGGAAGGUUAAGGGGAUCUGUUAGAGCAAUCGAAGCAGUGAACUUAAGCCCCAGUAAACGGCGGCCGUAACUAUAACGGUCCUAAGGUAGCGAAAUUCCUUGUCGGGUAAGUUCCGACCCGCACGAAAGGCGUAACGAUUUGGGCACUGUCUCAACAAUAGACUCGGUGAAAUUGUAAUCCCGGUGAAGAUGCCGGGUACCUGCGACAGGACGGAAAGACCCCAUGGAGCUUUACUGUAGCUUGACGUUGGGUCUUGGUACUACAUGUACAGGAUAGGUGGGAGACUAUGAAGCAUGGACGCCAGUCUGUGUGGAGUCAUCCUUGGGAUACCACCCUUGUAGUACUGGGAUCCUAACCAUAGGCCUUGAAUCAGGUCUUGGAACACCGUCAGGUGGGCAGUUUGACUGGGGCGGUCGCCUCCUAAAAAGUAACGGAGGCGCUCAAAGGUUUCCUCAGCACGGUCGGAAAUCGUGCGAAGAGUGUAAAGGCAAAAGGAAGCUUGAUUGCAAGACAUACAGGUCGAGCAAGGACGAAAGUCGGACUUAGUGAUCCGGUGGUACCGCAUGGAAGGGCCAUCGCUCAACGGAUAAAAGCUACCCUGGGGAUAACAGGCUUAUCUCCCCCAAGAGU
rnacentral:rRNA from 1 species